UACGUAGGGUCCGAGCGUUGUCCGGAAUUAUUGGGCGUAAAGGGCUCGUAGGCGGUUCGUCACGUCGGGAGUGAAAACUCGGGGCUUAACCCCGAGCCUGCUUCCGAUACGGGCAGACUAGAGGUAGGCAGGGGAGAGCGGAACUCCUGGUGUAGCGGUGGAAUGCGCAGAUAUCAGGAGGAACACCGGUGGCGAAGGCGGAUCUCUGGGCCUUACCUGACGCUCAGGUGCGAAAGCUAGGGGAGCGAACAGG
rnacentral:rRNA from 1 species